AAACGAGGAAGAAGAAGAAAGAGAAGAAGAAGCGGGAAGGUUUUGGAAACGACAACCGCAACGCUUGUGACAGAAGACUUGGAGAGGUAAGUAUCCUAAUAUUUUUUAGUUGGUUAACCAUGUAAUGUUGUGAAGUGAAAAUAUUUAACUGUUGUGACAACGAGUGGUCCUUUCAGAGGUUGCGGUAACGCUAAUGUCGUCUGCCCAGCAAGUAAUGUUAGUAUAUAUAAUGACCUUCACAAUUAGAUUAUACAGUGCAUAUUAAUUUGGGGGUUUGACUUUAAACAUUUUUAUAAUACUGUUGUAGGUAAAGUAACAAUCGACAAAUAAUUUUAUUGGUAUGGCUGGCUAGUUGUAAUAAAUAAGAGAUGACAUCCAAAAGUGUUCAAUGAUUAACAAAUGUGCCCCGCCAUUUUGAAAGCAGCAGUACAUUUGCUUACUAGCUGGCAGUGGCCAGUAUGUAUUGUAUCACGCUAUUGAUCAUAUAAACUGCAUAUACUGUAUAUUGAAAAAUAAAGUAGCUAUGUGUGUACAAUUUGAAACAUUCAUUCAUUUAAAUGAAACUAGCAUUAUCAGACAGGUCUUGUUAAGACUAGUUAGACGUAGACUUCCUUUUUAUUGUCAUUCAAAUUUGAACUUUACAGUACAAAUAGGAACGAAAUUGUGUUACAUAAGCUAAUGGUAGUGCGGGAUAAAAAAGCAAUAAGGUGCAUAUAUAAAUAAAUAAAUAGGUUAUUGUACAGAUAAAUAUAUUGCACUUUUUCACAUGCGUCCACGUUUAUGGAUGUAUGUUAUAUUGUCUUUUUUAUUCCAGCGAGUUAAUCCAUUUUGGGGGGAGUUGAGGGGAUAAUUUCAUUAUGAUGCGUUCAAGAGCCUUACGGCCUGAGGGAAGAAGCUGUUACAGAACCUGGAGGUUCUGCUUCGGAGGCUGCGGAACCUCUUACGAGUUACGUAAUAUAAGAAUAAUUUUCCUGUGAUACAUGUUUAAUAAGUUAUGAUUGUCUUAACCUGGUCAUCCAUCCAUCCAUCCAUCUUCUUCCGCUUAUCCGAGGUCGGGUCGCGGGGGCAGCAGCCUAAGCAGGGAAGCCCAGACUUCCCUCUCCCCAGCCACUUCGUCCAGCUCCUCCCGGGGGAUCCCGAGGCGUUCCCAGGCCAGCCGGGAGACAUAGUCUUCCCAACGUGUCCUGGGUCUUUCCCGUGGCCUCCUACCGGUCGGACGUGCCCUAAACACCUCCCGAGGGAGGCGAUCGGGUGGGAUCCUGACCAGAUGCCCGAACCACCUCAUCUGGCUCCUCUCGAUGUGGAGGAGCAGCGGCUUUACUUUGAGCUCCCCCCGGAUGACAGAGCUUCUCACCCUAUCUCUAAGGGAGAGCCCUGCCACCCACCUGGUCAAAAUGCACUAAUUUAUGGUCAACCUCUUCAAUACAAAGUCAUUGGGGCUCAAUAUUUUAUUCAUGACCUUUUUUGUUAAAAAUGCCAUAACUUUAUUAAUAUGUACCCUAUUAUAAAAAGGUGCCAUCAAGCCCCCCGCACCCCAAAAUAGAUAAGAAUUAAAAUAAGAAUUAAACUGUCUGGGUUGAGUUUUUUUUUACUAUAACCAGAACGAUCAUAAACAAUCAUUUUGUUUACUUGUUUUUGACAGAAGUUAAAUAUGAUUUACCCAAAAAGUUAACAUCCAUAUGAAGUGACCCCAUAUAUGUAAAUACUUUCCAUUUAUAUUAUAGUUCCAUCCAUCUAUCUAUUUUCUACUGCUUUUCCCUUCCGUGUCGUGGGGGGUGCUGGAGCCUAUCCCAACUGCGCUACGGCGGAAGGCACCCUGGACAAGUCAACACAGAUCGACAAGACAACAUUCACACACUCGCGUCAAUUUAUUGUUGCCAAUUAACCUAUCCCCAAUUUGUGAUACAAAAUUUAUUUUUUCAUUAACAGGAUGGACAAAAAGAAAAUGACAACAUAAGAGGUUAAGAGUUCCCACAAAGAAAAUGAAGGACCUGCAUAAUUCUCCUCCCCUAAAUGAGCAAUCUGGUAAGUCUCUGUAUGUGUGGCAAAGCGGACUACGGUUAAGCCAAAUUGCCGUGUUACAUGUAGCUAACAAACUGGAAAAAGGACUUUAUUAGUUUGUUUAGUAUUUAAAGAACAGCUGAGAAUGCCACCUUGGAAAAGUCGCCCCAAGAAGGUUAGUAACAGUACCCUAAUUGUAAUGAGGCCACACACCUCUAAGACAGCGAUGGGCAAGCUCACCCUACUGCAUAUGCUUUAAAAUGCAUAUAGGGAUGGGGAGAGGGAAUAAUCAUAACAUUGUUGUCCAAAUGAGGUGACAAAUACCAGUCCAAAUUUUUAUACUCAAAUAAAAAAUGUUAAACACUUUCUCUUUUGCACUCUCUCUUUCAGGGUGUUUGGCCUUCGUCAGAUGGGAGGACGGUUAUACCGGCAAAAUCUUUACUGGAGCAGACAUUUUGUCAAGAGAUGAAGCUCCUGUGCAGAUCUUAGAUCUUAGAACAGGAGAUUCUGUUUUAGCAAAGUGGUCAGAUGGUAAAUUUAUAGGGCAACUGUUGAAUAUAUUUCAGGAAAAGUGACGGGGGACUUGUAACAGGCAGCAACACUGUUGGACCACCACCACCACCCUAUGGGAGAGAUGCAGGCAACCCAUCUGUCGAGGACACUAUCUCAUAUCGACCGCAGGGAGAAAAAUCAUGGACGCCAUGUGAUGGAUGUUGGGAGGAGUUCGAAAAAAUCCUGCGAGAAAAGCAACAAAUCGAAGAAGUCCUCUUGAAAAUAGGCAGAUCCGGACCAAGUCAGAGUACUCCAAACUCUCUGCGACCUCGUUAGUGACAAAUACAGCGACGGCCCUUCUCAACAAUCGGGCCAACAGGAGCUCUUUCCUGAGAGCGGCGUAUUCAUGUCCUCGUUCCGCCUUGCUGCCAUGAGUCAUGCUUCAAAGCCCAAUUGCAUGCGUUUAUUCCACGCACUUUUUGACCACUUUUUUACAGUUGAGGAGUGUCAAAAUGCUGUCGCUUUUGGUCGCCCUGGAAACAAACCUGCAGGAACAGGAAAGCGCAUCCUUGACCGGAAAAAAGUUGAAGAAAUCCUAACGUAUGUCUUGAGAUGCGGUACCCUUUCUGAUUGGGACAAUAUUGAGGAGGCCAAGCUCAAGCAAGCUUUGGUAAACAAAUGUCGGGCAAGAGCAGGUUUUAAGUAGGCCCUUGUACCUGCCAAGUUCAUUCUGGGGUAGGAUGUUUCCUUUGUAAACAUGUUGAUAUUUUGGUCUGGGGUUGCGCAGUAUAUAUUGUAUAAAAAUGCCCUAUGAUGUAGCUUUUAGUACCACGUUAUACUGUGACAAUGCAUAUUGAGCUGGGCUGUGUCUCGCAAAUUUGGCACUGAUGCAACCUCACUAACAAGCUAGCGGCUAAUAUCCCUUCACAGUACAAAGCUGUUUCCAAAUAAAAAACGGAAAUGACGCAGUAUGUUACUGCUUACAUAAUCAGGUAUAUUAGUAGCUUUUGUAACCAAUUUCAAAAUGUUUUAAUGAUCAUUUAUGUACCAAAUGUUGUAUUGUUAUCGCAGGAGGCUGUUCUAUUGUUUACAACAGUGUUUCUUAAUCAUAGGGCUGGGUCCCACUGUUUGGUUGCGAAUACCCCUUGGGGGCCGCCAAUAAAUAUCUGUUUCUUAGCUGUGGUCCGUCCAUAUGGGCCGCAAUGGUACUCAGUUGCAAUACACUUUAGUGUAAGAUGACUAAUUCAGUGUUUGUAUUUGAGUGGGUCCCAGACCCCUCUGUAGUGGAAAAGUUGGUCGGGCCCUGAGGUAAAAAAUGUUAAGUAUCCUUGGUGUUCAAUGUGUGAUUAUUUUUUAUAUGUAGACCAGUUCCAAACACCACGGUUACAAUUUUAUAAAUGUAUUUCCAAAAUGGAAAUUUAGUCAUUUACUCACCUUCUUACUGAGAUUAAGUCAGGUGUUUUUUUUAACUACGGUACAUGGUUUGCUCAACAAGGAGUUAAAAAAAACUACACCGGACUUUUUCACAACAACAAAAGUGAGUACUUAGUUUUGUAUUUGUUGUAUUUUUUGUAUAUUGUUUUAAUUAUUGUGAAUGUCAAUAUGUACAUUAUGUAUGCACUAAUUAACUACAUUUAAAUUGUUGUAUUUAAUCUAUUUUUAUAUCUUAUAUUUUGUAUU